rnacentral:ncRNA from 1 species
GAGAUUAAGCCAACAUGGCAGGUCCUCACGUCAAACAAUUCAGACUUUCAUGUCCCUAUCAGCCAAGGAAACGGGCUUGGAAUAAUUAGCGGGGAAAGAAGACCCUUUUGAGCUUGACUCUAAUCUGGCAGUGUAAGGUGACAUAAGAGGUGUAGAAUAAGUGGGAGAUAUUAGACUUCGGUUUGGUAUCGCCAAUGAAAUACCACUACUCUUAUUGUUUCCUUAAUUACUUGAUUAAAUGGAACGUGUAUUAUUUAGUUUUAUUUAGGAAAAGUUGAUCUUAUUCGUUCAAGUUCUUUUAAUGAAGACAAAGUAAAGCUUAAUUACAAUCGUUAUCGAUAAGGUCUAAUUCACAAUAGCUGAUUAUAAUAUUAUAGACUAUACGGAAUAUCUUAUUUACACUAGCUUAAAUAUAAGUAACUUUAUAUUAUUAUAUUUAUACAAUUCAACACGCCUCCUUAAAUUUAUAAUCUAGAAUACUUUUUUACUUCAUUUGUACUUCAUUUGUUUACCAUUAGCUUUUUACAGUUCCUUUCGGGGCAUCAGCCUCGUUCCAGUUCUUGAAAAAGUUCUGGAGAGAGUGCUGGUGGAACGGCUGCAGGAGAGUGUGGGGAGCCAGAUGUCUGAUAGGCAGUUUGCCUUCCGUGAAGGGAGGUGUGCGGUAGACGCUUGGAGGAGCGUUAAGGGCUCUGUGAGAUCCAGCAACUCCAAGUACGUCCUCGGUGUGUUUGUGGAUUUCAAGGGGGCUUUCGAUUAAAUAAGUUGGGCUAGAGUGAUUCAAAGGUUGAACGAGUGUGGGUGCAGGGACGUAGCUCUUUGGAAGAGCUAUUUCUCGGGACGAAAUGCAUGUGUGGUGGGAGUGAACGAGGUUGUUUGGAAGGAUGUGGCUCGUGGUUGCCCACAGGGUUCCAUCUGUGGUCCAUUUAUAUGGAACCUCAUGAUGGAUCCCCUGCUAUGGCAGCUCGGGCAAGUGUGGCAGUGUUGUGCGUAUGCGGACGGUUGAGGGUCAGUCGCGUUCCAUGAUCGAGGCAAGCGCUUCAGAGUGCUUACGCUGUAGUAUGCAUGGGUCAUUAUAGGAAGCAUCCACUGUAGCAAUACAAUAUUGUGCUAGUGUUGUUAUAUAAACAAAAUGCCCGGCCAAAUAGCCAGUUAUAUACAUA